rnacentral:rRNA from 1 species
UACAGAGGUCCCAAGCGUUGUUCGGAUUCAUUGGGCGUAAAGGGUGUGUAGGCGGCGCGGUAAGUCGGGUGUGAAAUCUCGGGGCUUAACUCCGAAACUGCAUUCGAUACUGCCGUGCUUGAGGACUGGAGAGGAGACUGGAAUUUACGGUGUAGCGGUGAAAUGCGUAGAUAUCGUAAGGAAGACCAGUGGCGAAGGCGGGUCUCUGGACAGUUCCUGACGCUGAGGCACGAAGGCCAGGGGAGCAAACGGG